rnacentral:rRNA from 1 species
AGAGUUUGAUCAUGGCUCAGAUUGAACGCUGGCGGCAGGCCUAACACAUGCAAGUCGAGCGGUAGCACAGAGAGCUUGCUCUCGGGUGACGAGCGGCGGACGGGUGAGUAAUGUCUGGGAAACUGCCUGAUGGAGGGGGAUAACUACUGGAAACGGUAGCUAAUACCGCAUAAUGUCGCAAGACCAAAGUGGGGGACCUUCGGGCCUCAUGCCAUCAGAUGUGCCCAGAUGGGAUUAGCUUGUAGGUGGGGUAACGGCUCACCUAGGCGACGAUCCCUAGCUGGUCUGAGAGGAUGACCAGCCACACUGGAACUGAGACACGGUCCAGACUCCUACGGGAGGCAGCAGUGGGGAAUAUUGCACAAUGGGCGCAAGCCUGAUGCAGCCAUGCCGCGUGUGUGAAGAAGGCCUUCGGGUUGUAAAGCACUUUCAGCGGGGAGGAAGGCGUUAAGGUUAAUAACCUCAUCGAUUGACGUUACCCGCAGAAGAAGCACCGGCUAACUCCGUGCCAGCAGCCGCGGUAAUACGGAGGGUGCAAGCGUUAAUCGGAAUUACUGGGCGUAAAGCGCACGCAGGCGGUCUGUCAAGUCGGAUGUGAAAUCCCCGGGCUUAACCUGGGAACUGCAUUCGAAACUGGCAGGCUAGAGUCUUGUAGAGGGGGGUAGAAUUCCAGGUGUAGCGGUGAAAUGCGUAGAGAUCUGGAGGAAUACCGGUGGCGAAGGCGGCCCCCUGGACAAAGACUGACGCUCAGGUGCGAAAGCGUGGGGAGCAAACAGGAUUAGAUACCCUGGUAGUCCACGCCGUAAACGAUGUCGAUUUGGAGGUUGUGCCCUUGAGGCGUGGCUUCCGGAGCUAACGCGUUAAAUCGACCGCCUGGGGAGUACGGCCGCAAGGUUAAAACUCAAAUGAAUUGACGGGGGCCCGCACAAGCGGUGGAGCAUGUGGUUUAAUUCGAUGCAACGCGAAGAACCUUACCUGGUCUUGACAUCCACAGAACUUUGCAGAGAUGGUUUGGUGCCUUCGGGAACUGUGAGACAGGUGCUGCAUGGCUGUCGUCAGCUCGUGUUGUGAAAUGUUGGGUUAAGUCCCGCAACGAGCGCAACCCUUAUCCUUUGUUGCCAGCGGUUCGGCCGGGAACUCAAAGGAGACUGCCAGUGAUAAACUGGAGGAAGGUGGGGAUGACGUCAAGUCAUCAUGGCCCUUACGACCAGGGCUACACACGUGCUACAAUGGCAUAUACAAAGAGAAGCGACCUCGCGAGAGCAAGCGGACCUCAUAAAGUAUGUCGUAGUCCGGAUUGGAGUCUGCAACUCGACUCCAUGAAGUCGGAAUCGCUAGUAAUCGUAGAUCAGAAUGCUACGGUGAAUACGUUCCCGGGCCUUGUACACACCGCCCGUCACACCAUGGGAGUGGGUUGCAAAAGAAGUAGGUAGCUUAACCUUCGGGAGGGCGCUUACCACUUUGUGAUUCAUGACUGGGGUGAAGUCGUAACAAGGUAACCGUAGGGGAACCUGCGGUUGGAUCACCU